rnacentral:tRNA from 1 species
CCGCCUAUAGCUCAAUUGGUAGAGCAGUUGCCUCUUAAGCAAUUGGUUCCAGGUUCAAGUCCUGGUGGGCGGACAA